rnacentral:rRNA from 1 species
GAUGAACGCUGGCGGCGUGCCUAAUACAUGCAAGUCGAGCGAACAGAUGAGGAGCUUGCUCCUCUGACGUUAGCGGCGGACGGGUGAGUAACACGUGGAUAACCUACCUAUAAGACUGGGAUAACUUCGGGAAACCGGAGCUAAUACCGGAUAAUAUAUUGAACCGCAUGGUUCAAUAGUGAAAGACGGUUUUGCUGUCACUUAUAGAUGGAUCCGCGCCGCAUUAGCUAGUUGGUAAGGUAACGGCUUACCAAGGCGACGAUGCGUAGACGACCUGAGAGGGGGAUCGGCCACACUGGAACUGAGACACGGUCCAGACUCCUACGGGAGGCAGCAGUAGGGAAUCUUCCGCAAUGGGCGAAAGCCUGACGGAGCAACGCCGCGUGAGUGAUGAAAGUCUUCGGAUCGUAAAACUCUGUUAUUAGGGAAGAACAAAUGUGGAAGUAACUAUGCACGUCUUGACGGUACCUAAUCAGAAAGCCACGGCUAACUACGUG